AUGAGCUGGACCGUACGUGACCUGACCUCGCCGGCGAAGAGAGAAGUGGUUAGAGAAGUAGUUGCUGCUCAUCGUGCAGCCAUUCUGUGCAUGCAAGAGACCAAGAUAGAUGUUUGGUCGCCAGCCCUCGUCUGCGACAUUGGUGGCCCAAUGCUGCAGGGCUGCGCAGUCAUUCCCGCCAUCGGCACCCGCGGUGGCAUUGCCAUCUUGUGGAACCGAGACCUUGUAGAUGUCGUCACCCACGCCAUUGGCCAAUUUGCAGUCACGGUCAGGGUCACCUUAGCUAGAUGCCACACCUCCUUCUAGCUAACCACGGUCUACGGACUGACUGACGAUGCGAACAAGGAGGCUUUCCUCGCUGAGAUCUCGAGUGCUGCCCCACCUGUGUCUGAGCCUUGGAUAAUCUGCGGCGAUUUCAAUCAAAUCUACGAGGCUAGGGCGAAGAACAACCUCAACCUCAAUAGGAGGUUGAUGGGCCGUUUCAAGGCGGCCAUAGAUAGAGCGGGUCUUUGUCAGCUCAAAUGCGGCAACCGCAAGUUCACCUGGAGCAACGAGCGCGACAACCCAACCCUAGUGGGCAUCGACAAUUUCUUCUGCAAUGCGCCAUGGGAAACCCAAUUCCCCCUGGCCAUGCUCAUGGCUGCCUCCACGGCCUGCUCCGACCAUUGCCCACUGGUGCUGUCAAAUGCGGCAGGACCCCGCCAUUGCAAGUGCUCCGACCUUCUGGCCGCGCUUCCCGCGCUUUGCGGACACGGUGACCGCGGCCUGUGGCUGCUUCAUGCGCGUUCACCCACCUCCACGUCAAGCUUGCCCAUACGGUCAAGGACCUCCACAUUUGGAGCUAGGGCCUCUUCGAUGAUGCAAAGAUGCAAUUCCAUAUGGCCUGCGAGGUCAUCUUGCGCCUCGACGAGGCCCAGGAAAGGCGCCAGCUCUUGCCGGCCGAACGGGACCUACGCAAGGGCCUCAAGCUCGGAUUGCUGA
rnacentral:rRNA from 1 species